rnacentral:rRNA from 1 species
UACAGAGGCCCCAAGCGUUACUGAGAAUCACUGGGUUUAAAGGGUGCGUAGGUGGCGCGUUAAGUCCGUUGUGAAAUCCCUUGGCUCAACCAAGGAACUGUCUUCGGAUACUGGCGUGCUUGAGGCUAGUAGAGGUCACUGGAACUGACGGUGGAGCGGUGAAAUGCGUAGAUAUCGUCAGGAACGCCAAUGGUGAAGACAGGUGACUGGGCUAGUUCUGACACUGGGGCACGGAAAACGUGGGGAGCGAAACGGGAUUGAGAGUACCCGUGGUAGUUCC